GCCCGCUCAGAAACUUAAAGGAAGUUGACGGGGCCCGCACAAGCGGAGGAGCAUGUGGUUUAAUUCGAUGAUACGCGAGGAACCUUACCUGGGCUCGAACGUAAGAUGACUGUAGGUGAAAGCUUACAUCUCUUCGGAGCAUUUUACGAGGUGCUGCAUGGUUGUCGUCAGCUCGUGCCGUGAGGUGUCGGGUUAAGUCCCAUAACGAGCGCAACCCUACCUUUAGUUGCCAUCAGGUAAUGCUGGGGACUCUAAAGGAACUGCCUACGCAAGUAGUGAGGAAGGCGGGGAUGACGUCAAAUCAGCACGGCCCUUACGUCCAGGGCUACACACGUGCUACAAUGGCCGAUACAGAGGGCAGCUACCUGGUGACAGGAUGCAAAUCUCCAAAGUCGGUCUCAGUUCGGAUCGGAGUCUGCAACCCGACUCCGUGAAGUUGGAUUCGCUAGUAAUCGCGCAUCAGCCAUGGCGCGGUGAAUACGUUCCCGGGCCUU
rnacentral:rRNA from 1 species